rnacentral:rRNA from 1 species
UACGUAGGUGGCAAGCGUUGUCCGGAUUUAUUGGGUUUAAAGGGUGCGUAGGCGGCCUUGUAAGUCAGUGGUGAAAUACUCUAGCUUAACUAGAGGGGUGCCAAUGAUACUGCAGGGCUUGAGUACAGAUGAGGUAGGCGGAAUUGACGGUGUAGCGGUGAAAUGCAUAGAUAUCGUCAAGAAACACCCUAUAGCGAAGGCAGCUUACUGGGCUGUAACUGACGCUGAGGCACGAAAGUGUGGGGAUCAAACAGG